GGUGGUAAACUGUCCAGGUGUCGGGGCAGCGUCUCUGGUUCCUGACCCGAAUGUCACUCCCACUCAAGGGCAGACCAUUAGGGUCCGCGCUCCAUGGAUCAAGAAUGCCAUUAUUGCCGGAACAUAUGAAAUUUCUCCAACGGUGGAUUACGUUGUGCUUGGAGGCAGCCUCGUAUUCGGAGAAACCUCGCUGGUCCCUGAUUCAGAAGUUGCGAAAGAUAUUUGGAAAAACUGCCUCCAACUCGUUCCGAGUUUAAAGGAUGCUGAAAUUCUGACAAACCAUGUGGGACUCCGACCGUACAGGAGCCGUCUUCGGCUAGAAAUCGAGAAUCGUGUGUAUAAUGUCACGGGC